UGAUAUAUGUCGUGAACAGGGAUGGAGCGAAAUAAUUAUUUCUCUGGAAAAAUUCCACUGCUGUACUGGUAUUGUGCUGGCAGCUGGAUGUGACCCUGGAAUUUGUGUUGCAUGAACAAAGGUAGAGAGGAAUCAAGGGCAGAGGGAUGAUCAGAUGACCAGAUUUGAAGAGAAGAGCCAGGAGGUAGCUGUCGAGGAGGAAAGUCAGCUAUAAAGUCAGCUCCCACGCCAUAUGCCAGUUUAGGCAUGCCGUAAUGACAUGAGGGCAGCAGAUGUAGUCGCUGAUUUUGACUGAGUGGAACUGCGUGAUUUCUGGACAUUUUCUUGGUGACUAUGAUUUUUGGGAGAGCAGAGCAAUGGAAGCUGAGAGCAGAAACCAGCCAACUGGCAAGAAAAAAUAUAACUGCAGAAGACUAAUGGUGGCUGCUGGGAGUUUGCUGCCUAAGCUAUGGAAGAAGAAGCUGCCUGGGACUCAGCAGAUGUACUGGGUGUCAACUGGCAUUGAAUUAAUGCUCAGCUACAAUUUCUGAAUAUAUAUUUUUUUUAAUGAUUAUGAGUUUGUGUUGAGCUGGAUUAAUUGUUUAUUGACUUG